UCAAAUUCCCAUUUUCUUCUCUUUUUGCAAUAUAUCGAUUUUUCUAUCACCUUCACGGUUUACUUUUCAUAUUUAGAUCUUUUGAAUAUUUUUGUCAUUUUCAAUUAUGACUAGAAAAUGUCAAAAGAUUAGGCAUUGAAGUGGAAGUCUGCCUUGAUCAAGUUUCUCCAUAAAAUUUUGAAAUCCUUUCUCGCUUAUUUGGCUUUUCCUAUUGCCAAAAAUGUUCAUGAGAUCUAAGGAUGGUGCAACCUUAAUGGUUUUUCUUAAUAUUUAUGGAUUUGUUGGUUUUCUUUGGUCCAUAUGUGUUCCACAGUUCGUGCCUCUAUUUUAUAAAUGUUGAAGAGCUAUGAAGAAUCGGGCAUAUGCCUCCUUUGUGUGAAAAGUAUCUCACUACAAUGUCUUUUGAGAUUACAAGCGAUGAAGAGUAUGAUUUGGAGGAAAAGUGAAGACUCUCCAAUCGUUGAUGAGGAUCAUUGGAGCCGAGAGGAGAAGGGCAAAACUAUUUCUAGGUGUUUGGUUAUUAAGAGGUUGGUGCCAUUAUGAGGAGUUGUUUCUUCUCACUCUUUUUUUUUUUGGUUGCUUAGACAUUAAUUUAGGGUAUAAUAACUUCUCCUACAUUGUGUGAUUCAUGUAUCUGGUGAUCUUCUAUCUUAAUAAACUUCAAAUUCAGUUGAUG
rnacentral:lncRNA from 1 species